rnacentral:lncRNA from 1 species
AUGCCUAUUGAAGAUACUCUCAUGAAGUACAAGAGAAUUGAUGAAACAAGAUGGGUUGCUUCCUCUGUUCUACCUGUGUCUUUUGCUCCCUUAAUUAUUCCUGAGCCAGAUGACAAAAUGGAGUCUGUGUCGUUACCCCCUGUGGAGCCUCUCUCUCUUCAAGCUUUGUGCCGAGCUGCCAUUCGCAAUACGCUAAGAAGCAAUGCGAAGAAAGAACAUCCAGAAAUUGAUAACAUGAAUCGUACCCGUCCAAAGAAGAAAUCUAAUCAAAAGUGGUCUCCAUUGACGCGAGUCACUGCCUUGCCUAUUUCUGUUUCCGAUUUUGUGGGUCGUCAUGAAGCAGAAUUAAAUUCUACUUUCGGCUCAGGUGAUUUUGACUGGUCCGACGAUUCUGAUGAUGCCUCUUCAUCCUCAUCCCUCGAGUACCCCCUUCACGGAAAUCCUACGUGGAACCCAGAUUCCAGUGACAACAACGAAUCCUCCAAUCACAGCAACGUAGAAGAGAACCAGAGUCAAUCAGCGGCAGAGCCAGGUAACACUAGUCCUAAGAAAUCUACAAGCAAACGUGAGUCUGCUGCCUCAAGCGAUGCAGAAAGCAACGAUUCCGAAAGUGGUGGGCUGAAAAAACGCACCAAACGUGAUUCAGCAUCAAACAACCCAAGAGUCUUCACCUGCGUGUUCCAAUCUACCCGGAGGAGUCUAGCUCGUCCAGCUUUAGUUUCACCGUGA